UCCGAGUUGUCCCCGGCAGUCCUCUUAGAGUCCCCGGCAUUACCCGCUGGCAACUAAGAGCAGGGGUCGCGCUCGUUGCGGGACUUAACCCAACAUCUCACGACACGAGCUGACGGCAGCCAAGCACCACCUGUGAAGGUGCCCCGAAGGGAAGGCGUGUUUCCACGCCGGUCACCCACAUGUCAAGCCCAGGUAAGGUUCUUCGCGUUGCGUCGAAUUAAACCACAUGCUCCGCUGCUUGUGCGGGCCCCCGUCAAUUCCUUCGAGUUUUAGCCUUGCGGCCGUACUCCCCAGGCGGGGCACUUAGUGCGUUAGCGACGACACGGGAGGAGUCGACACCUCCCACACCUAGUGCCCAUCGUUUACGGCGUGGACUAC
rnacentral:misc_RNA from 1 species